CUUGCUAAGUUUGAUGGCGACCGGCGCACGGGUGAGUAACACGUAUCCAACCUGCCGAUGACUCGGGGAUAGCCUUUCGAAAGAAAGAUUAAUACCCGAUGGCAUAGUUCUUCCGCAUGGUAGAACUAUUAAAGGAUUUCGGUCAUCGAUGGGGAUGCGUUCCAUUAGGUUGUUGGCGGGGUAACGGCCCACCAAGCCUUCGAUGGAUAGGGGUUCUGAGAGGAAGGUCCCCCACAUUGGAACUGAGACACGGUCCAAACUCCUACGGGGGCAGCAUG
rnacentral:rRNA from 1 species